rnacentral:tRNA from 1 species
GCUUGGUUAGCUCAGUCGGUAGAGCAUCAGACUUUUAAUCUGAGGGUCAAGGGUUCAAGUCCCUUAUUGGGCG